rnacentral:rRNA from 1 species
UACGUAGGGGGCGAGCGUUGUCCGGAAUUACUGGGCGUAAAGGGUGCGUAGGCGGCCUCAGAAGUCAGGUGUGAAAUACCGUGGCUUAACCACGGGGGUGCAUUUGAAACUUUGAGGCUUGAGUGCAGGAGAGGAAAGUGGAAUUCCUAGUGUAGCGGUGAAAUGCGUAGAGAUUAGGAGGAACACCAGUGGCGAAGGCGACUUUCUGGACUGUAACUGACGCUGAUGCACGAAAGCGUGGGUAGCGAACAGGAUUAGAUACCCUGGUAGUCCACGCCGUAAACGAUGGAUACUAGGUGUAGGAGGUAUCGACCCCUUCUGUGCCGUAGUUAACGCAAUAAGUAUCCCGCCUGGGGAGUACGUGCGCAAGCAUGAAACUCAAAGGAAUUGACGGGGACCCGCACAAGCAGCGGAGCAUGUGGUUUAAUUCGAAGCAACGCGAAGAACCUUACCAGGGCUUGACAUCCCGAUGACCGGUACAGAGAUGUACCUUCUCUUCGGAGCAUUGGUGACAGGUGGUGCAUGGUU